GCUUGGAUCCUGGUACAAGAAAAGCCUCCUUGGAGAAGCGGUUGAUUCCUGGCUUCCAGCAGGGAAAACACAAGAUCAGCCUGGAUUAUCUUUUGGUGCCAAAAAUAAAUGCUCCAAAAAGGAUGGGGACAUGUCAAAAGGGCAUAGGAAUCAACACGAAAGAGCUUUCAACAGCCAAAGCUAAGAUUUUUGAGCAGUAAAAUAAUAAUAAUGUAUUAUAACCCAUAGAAUUAAGUAAAUAUCCAUGAGUUCAUACUGAUAAAUCUAAAUAAUUGAAUAAAUAAAUAAAUGCGAGGGAAAGAAUAGCUCUUCCUUUCAAAAUAAUUUCAACUGAUAAAUGUAGAAGAAUGAGGGAAAUAGAAAAUUAUCAUUAGUACACCACAGCAACAAUUACUUGCUAAAAUUAAUAGGCAAAAGUUUGAGGAGAAACUGCUUAUUUUCAUUGCCUCAAAGAGUCUCCCCCAAGAUCUUUAUUAGUUACAAAGGGGAAAACAGUAACGUUAUAGGGGGGAAACUGCUGACAUCACCUGAGCCAAGGUAGCACUGUUAGCAAUAGAUACAUGCAAUGUAUCUUAUUAGUAUCAUGUAUCCCUUGAUGUUCUGCACUGAGAAGGAUACAUCAGUUCUGCGGUAUUCUUGCUAAAAUACAUGACCUUCAUCCAGUCAUGAGAGGACACAUCAAGAAACUCAAACAGAGAUAAUCUACAAAGUAACUGACCAGGACUCUUUCAAGGUCAUAAAAGACAAGGAGCCACAGAACACUUACAGAUUGGAGGAGACUGGGGACACAGAAAAACUAAAUGCACUACAAACUAGAUCCUGGAACAUUAAAAGGAUAUCCAUGGAAGAGCUGGUGAAAUCCAAGUGCGUACCGUAGUUCAGCCUUUGACAUCUUCAGAGUGGGAGCUGGGAGAGGGACAAGAGGAAACCAUUCCCCAUGGAGGACUCCUUCCCAAGAUGGCUCUUGGCCAGCUCUCUUCCGUUCUCUCAGAGGCAUUCACAUUGCUGCUCAUUCCAAGGUGUAAGAACAGAAAGACCCCCGAAAGGGUUUUGCCUGCUGGACCAGGCCUACAUGUUCCAGUGUCCUCUUCUCACCGUGCAACAACAAAAUACGUUUAAAAGCUGGUUUCCAAAGUCGAUUUUUACCAGGAUCUUAGAGCUGCCCCGUGAGUUCUUCUUUCAAUGCAACCUUCCCUCUCCAAACCGAGUAGCAUCAGCAAACCUAGCUGUGUGAGGCAAGGGCAAUGUUGGCAUCAUAAUGAAGAUUCCCGGGAGAAGAUAUACUGAGCAGAGUGUCCCUCUCUUGCUUCGUCUCACUGGAGGUUUAGAAGAGUCCCUU